rfam:Rattus norvegicus chromosome 6, whole genome shotgun sequence.
GGGGAUUUAGCUCAGCGGUAAAGCGCUUGCCUGGCAAGUGCAAGGUCCUGGGUUCGAUCCCCAGCUCCG